rnacentral:sRNA from 1 species
GCGCCAGCAAAAUCUGGUGUCAGGAUUGAGACCCUGAAUAAGAACUACACGGCGACACAUGACGCGCCAAGCGUCUUUUUU